rfam:Triticum aestivum genome assembly, contig: Triticum_aestivum_CS42_TGACv1_scaffold_235630_3B
GUAGUACUCCCUCCGUCCGAAAAUACUUGUCAGAGAAAUGAAUGAAAAUGGGUGUAUCUAAAACUAAAUUGUAUCUAGAUACAUCCAUUUCUUCGACAAGUAUUUUUGGACCGAGGGAGUACAUA